rnacentral:rRNA from 1 species
UACGUAGGGGGCAAGCGUUGUCCGGAUUUCUUGGGCGUAAAGAGCGUGUAGGCGGCCAGGUAGGUCUGCUGUGAAAACUCGAGGCUCAACCUCGAGAUGUCGGCGGAAACCAUCUGGCUAGAGUCCGGAAGAGGAGAAUGGAAUUCCCGGUGUAGCGGUGAAAUGCGCAGAUAUCGGGAAGAACACCCGUGGCGAAGGCGGUUCUCUGGGACGGUACUGACGCUGAGACGCGAAAGCGUGGGGAGCGAACAGG